rnacentral:rRNA from 1 species
GACGAACGCUGGCGGCGUGCUUAACACAUGCAAGUCGAACGAAGUGGCGAACGGGUGAGUAACGCGUAAUCAACCUGCCCUUCAGAGGGGGACAACAGUUGGAAACGACUCCUAAUACCGAAUAUUGAGGGAGGGGAUGGCGUCGGAUUGGCUGGUUGGGGGGGUAACGGCCCACCAAGGCGAUGAUCAGUAGCCGGUCUGAGAGGAUGAACGGCCACAUUGGGACUGAGACACGGCCCAGACUCCUACGGGAGGCAGCAGUGGGGAAUCUUCCGCAAUGGACGAAAGUCUGACGGAGCAACGCCGCGUGAGUGAUGACGGCCUUCGGGUUGUAAAGCUCUGUUAAUCGGGACGCGGUACCGGAAUAGAAAGCCACGGCUAACUACGUGCCAGCAGCCGCGGUAAUAC